UACGAAGGGGGCUAGCGUUGCUCGGAAUUACUGGGCGUAAAGCGCACGUAGGCGGUCUUUUAAGUCGGGGGUGAAAUCCUGGAGCUCAACUCCAGAACUGCCUUCGAUACUGGAAGACUCGAGUCCGGGAGAGGUGAGUGGAACUGCGAGUGUAGAGGUGAAAUUCGUAGAUAUUCGCAAGAACACCAGUGGCGAAGGCGGCUCACUGGCCCGGUACUGACGCUCAGGCGCGAUAGCGUGGGGAUCAAACAGG
rnacentral:rRNA from 1 species